rnacentral:tRNA from 1 species
GGCGGGAUGCCAGAGUGGCUUAUUGGGCUGGUUUCGAAAACCAUGCGCUUUGUAAAAGGCACGGGGGUUCAAAUCCCUCUCCCGCCG